rnacentral:rRNA from 1 species
GACGAACGCUGGCGGCGUGCUUAACACAUGCAAGUCGAACGGGCCCGCCCCUGUUUUUGGGGGUGGGUUGAGUGGCGAACGGGUGAGUAUCACGUGAGUAACCUGCCCCCUGCUCCUGGAUAACUGCUUGAAAGGGCGGCUAAUACGGGGUGUGCCGGCUGGUCCGCAUGGGCCUGGUCGGGAUAGUUUCAUCUUCGGGUGUUUCGGUGGGGGAUGGGCUCGCGGCCUAUCAGCUUGUUGGUGGGGUGAUGGCCCACCAAGGCGGUGACGGGUAGCCGGCCUGAGAGGGUGGGCGGCCACACUGGGACUGAGCCACGGCCCAGACUCCUGCGGGAGGCAGCAGUGGGGGGUAUUGCACAAUGGGCGGAAGCCUGAUGCAGCGACGUCGCGUGAGGGAUGGAGGCCUUCGGGUUGUGAACCUCUUUCUCCGGUGGUGAAGGCCCUGUCCGUUGCGGCGGGGUUGACGGUAGCCGGGUAUGAAGCGCCGGCUAACUACGUG